AAAAAGGCAUAUUGAUUGACUUUAAGGGACAAGUGUUGAAAUGUAUACAUUAUUUUCCUUCACACUCUAAUGACUAGAACUUAGUAAUGUGGCCAGAUAUAACUGCAGAGCUAGCCAAGAAGUCACAAAGAUACAUAGCACCCAGCUAGAAAAUGAUGCAAGUCAAUGAGUAUUCAUGGAUGGUAGAGAUGUGAAAGAGGAUAUCAAUAAUGGAGGUUUUGUUUGUUUUGUUAAUUAAACUUUGAAUGUCUAUAUAAAAGUUCAAGAUUUCUGAUUUCAGCUGACAUUUAAAGGAUUUGGAAGUUAUCCUUGGCCUUAUAAUGGUGGAUAGAGAUCACUUUUUUCUUAGAUCUGUGAAAGAAUUGAAGUCACAGGGUAGAUUGCUGCUCUGAAUUCUGGAGACAAAAGGAAAUGCAGAUCAUAACAGCCAAGAUCUGCUUAUUUAGAACAAAAAUCACUGGAGCCAUAAAUUGUUAAGAACAAUUAUUUUGAUGAAUUGCUGAAAGUUGAAGUGGCUUGGGUGUAAGAAAUUUCAGGGGCCCAGCCUUAAAGGGACCUCCACACUUUCAUGAGUAUUUGCAAGGGAGGGGUCUGAGACAAAUUCCUCUGUGGCAAAGGGGAAGAGAGAGAAAGUGACCUUUAUGAAAUUAGACUCAGCAUGUUUUUAUUACCAGACCUUGUCUACUUGAGAGAAGGGCACUUAGCCAAUACCAGCCUUUCUAGCCUUUCUGUCUAGCUAAAGGAGAAGAAGACUUAAAAAUGCAUCUGAAGCCAGGCACAGUGGCAUACCUUUAAUCCCUGCAGCUCAGGAGGCUGAGGCAGGAGGAUCACAAGUUCAAAGCCAGCCUCAGCAAUGGCAAGGCACUAAGCAACUCAGGGAGACCCUGUCCCUAAAUAAAAUAAAAAAGGGGGGUGCUGGGGAUUUGACUCAGUGGUUGAGUGUCCCUGAGUUCAAUCCCCCUGGUACCCCACCCCACCCCAAAAAAAAACCCUUCCG
rnacentral:lncRNA from 1 species